UCCAAAAUGGCCGCCCAUUCAAGUCAAUGGGCUGAGCUCAAUGGCGCAUGAUCCCAGAUUAGCCUAGCCCGGCUAGGUACUUCCGGUGGCUGUGGGCCGACCGAGCAUGCGCAGUAGUGCUCUUUUCUCCCACGGGCACACGCGAAUGCACGCGACCACACGCACGGAGCGCGGGCUCGUGUAUCACGUGAUCGCUUUGACCAAUCAGAGCGAGAGGAACGAGAGCGGAGCAGAGCGGAGCCGGAGCUAACGAAUAUAAAGCGUUUUUUAAGACAACUGAAGGAUUUUGAGCGAGAAAAAGUUUAUGAUCUAAAAAUAGGUAAAAAUCGCCACAAAAUCCGACAUUUUUGAAAGUUGUAGGUGCCCUGUCAGCCGAACACGAGCAGGUUGUGAUUACAUUGCGCUCUAUGAGAAAAAUCUUCUCUCGGCCCAUGGGAUUUUUUCGACUGUAGUACCACUGAGUGACACUACGUCAACUCGAGGCAGCUACAAGCAGCAACACUGUAUCCAGUUAUUUUAAUAGAUCCAUGGUCGUUCCCCUCAGCUGUUCUGAGCAGCAGAGGGAGAUGUGUGUGGAGCUGUCACAUUUGGAGGCUGUAUUUUCAUCAUUUUUGUGUUUCACACAGACCGCUUCCUUUUUUAGGAACUGCAAAACUUGUCUAGACCAGUUCUAGACCAGUAGACUAUUAGACGUGGGAACGGUAUAACAAGUACACCAUAACGACAGAGCUCAGGAAGGACCAAACAUCACUCAACAAGAAGAUUACAGAUGGCAGAGAACUCAAAAGUUGUUUCUUUGCAGCCUUCAUCCAG